rnacentral:rRNA from 1 species
UACGGAGGAUCCGAGCGUUAUCCGGAUUUAUUGGGUUUAAAGGGAGCGUAGGCGGGUUGUUAAGUCAGCUGUGAAAGUUUGCGGCUCAACCGUAAAAUUGCAGUUGAUACUGGCAUCCUUGAGUACAGUAGAGGUAGGCGGAAUUCGUGGUGUAGCGGUGAAAUGCUUAGAUAUCACGAAGAACUCCGAUUGCGAAGGCAGCCUGCUGGACUGUAACUGACGCUGAUGCUCGAGAGUGUGGGUAUCAAACAGG